GAAGGUAUAGCUCAGUGGUAGAGCACGUGCUUAGCAUGCACAAGGUCCUGGGUUCCAUCCCCAGCACCUCCA
rnacentral:tRNA from 1 species